UACGUAGGGGGCAAGCGUUGUCCGGAAUUAUUGGGCGUAAAGAGCGUGUAGGCGGUCCGGUAAGUCCGUUGUGAAAGUCAAAGGCUCAACCUUUGAAAGCCGAUGGAUACUGUGAGGCUAGAGUCCGGAAGAGGCGAGUGGAAUUCCUGGUGUAGCGGUGGAAUGCGCAGAUAUCAGGAGGAACACCAAUAGCGAAGGCAGCUCGCUGGGACGGUACUGACGCUAAGGCGCGAAAGCGUGGGGAGCGAACAGG
rnacentral:rRNA from 1 species